UAGGGAAUCUUCGGCAAUGGACGAAAGUCUGACCGAGCAACGCCGCGUGAGUGAAGAAGGUUUUCGGAUCGUAAAACUCUGUUGUUAGAGAAGAACAAGGACGUUAGUAACUGAACGUCCCCUGACGGUAUCUAACCAGAAAGCCACGGCUAACUACGUGCCAGCAGCCGCGGUAAUACGUAGGUGGCAAGCGUUGUCCGGAUUUAUUGGGCGUAAAGCGAGCGCAGGCGGUUUCUUAAGUCUGAUGUGAAAGCCCCCGGCUCAACCGGGGAGGGUCAUUGGAAACUGGGAGAAUUGAGUGCAGAAGAGGAGAGUGGAAUUCCAUGUGUAGCGGUGAAAUGCGUAGAUAUAUGGAGGAAAACCAGUGGCGAAGGCGGCUCUCUGGCCUGUAACUGACGCUGAGGCUAGAAAGCGUGGGGAGCAAACAGG
rnacentral:rRNA from 1 species